AAACCAACAGGGAUUGCCCCAGUAACGGCGAGUGAAGCGGCAUGAGCUCGGAUUUGAAAGCCUGCGGGCGUUGUAAGUGGGGGAUAUUGCUGAUCUAUUGCUGGAGUAGUGCGUUGGAACACGCCGCCUCAGAGGGUAAGAGUCCCGUACAAUGGUUAACAUCAGUGUGUCCUUUCGUCGAGUCGAGUUGUUUGGGAAUGCAGCUCUAAGCGGGUGGUAUAUUCCAUCUAAGGCUAAAUAUAGGCGGGAGACCGAUAGCAAACAAGUACCGUGAGGGAAAGAUGAAAAGAACUUUGAAAAGAGAGUGAAAAAGUACGUGAAAUUGUUGAAAGGGAAGGGUAUUUGAUCCGACGUGGUGAUCACCCAUCGUUCGGCCUUGUGCCGGGCGCUCUGGGUCUUCACCGGGGCGUGGUUAGAGAGGGGAGUGGGAUACGGGCUGGGGGAACGUGACCCUUCGGGGAGUUAUAGCCCCUGGUCAACUCCACCCCCUUUUCUAGGGACCGCCG
rnacentral:rRNA from 1 species